UACAGAGGAUGCAAGCGUUACCCGGAUUUAUUGGGUUUAAAGGGUGCGUAGGCGGCUUAUUAAGUCAGGGGUGAAAGACGGUGGCUCAACCAUCGCAGUGCCUUUGAUACUGAUGAGCUUGAAUGAACUAGAGGUAGGCGGAAUGUGACAGGUAGCGGUGAAAUGCAUAGAUAUGUCACAGAACACCGAUUGCGAAGGCAGCUUACUGUGGUUUUAUUGACGCUGAGGCACGAAAGCAUGGGGAGCGAACAGG
rnacentral:rRNA from 1 species